rnacentral:rRNA from 1 species
AUUGAACGCUGGCGGCAUGCCUAACACAUGCAAGUCGAACGAGUGGCGGACGGGUGAGUAAUGUCUGGGAAACUGCCCGAUGGAGGGGGAUAACUACUGGAAACGGUAGCUAAUACCGCAUACCAUCGGAUGUGCCCAGACGGGAUUAGCUAGUCGGUGGGGUAACGGCUCACCUAGGCGACGAUCCCUAGCUGGUCCGAGAGGAUGACCCGCCACACUGGGACUGGGACACGGUCCAGACUCCUACGGGAGGCAGCAGUGGGGAAUAUUGGACAAUGGGCGAAAGCCUGAUGCAGCCAUGCCGCGUGUAUGAAGAAGGCCUUCGGGUUGUAAAGUACUUUCAGCGGGGAGGCGUUACCCGCCGAGGAAGCACCGGCUAACUCCGUGCCAGCAGCCGCGGUAAUAC